ACCUGCCCAUCAGAAGGGGAUAACACUUGGAAACAGGUGCUAAUACCGUAUAACAAUCGAAACCGCAUGGUUUCGGUUUGAAAGGCGCUUUUGCGUCAAUGAUGGAUGGACCCGCGGUGCAUUAGCUAGUUGGUGAGGUAACGGCUCACCAAGGCAACGAUGCAUAGCCGACCUGAGAGGGUGAUCGGCCACAUUGGGACUGAGACACGGCCCAAACUCCUACGGGAGGCAGCAGUAGGGAAGUCUUCGGCAAUGGACGCAAGUCUGACCGAACAACGCCGCGUGAGUGAAGAAGGUUUUCGGAUCGUAAAACUCUGUUGUUAGAGAAGAACAAGGAUGAGAGUAGAAUGUUCAUCCCUUGACGGUAUCUAACCAGAAAGCCACGGCUAACUACGUGCCAGCAGCCGCGGUAAUACGUAGGUGGCAAGCGUUGUCCGGAUUUAUUGGGCGUAAAGCGAGCGCAGGCGGUUUCUUAAGUCUGAUGUGAAAGCCCCCGGCUCAACCGGGGAGGGUCAUUGGAAACUGGGAAACUUGAGUGCAGAAGAGGAGAGUGGAAUUCCAUGUGUAGCGGUGAAAUGCGUAGAUAUAUGGAGGAACACCAGUGGCGAAGGCG
rnacentral:rRNA from 1 species